UACGUAGGGGGCAAGCGUUAUCCGGAUUUACUGGGUGUAAAGGGAGCGUAGACGGCGAUGCAAGCCAGAUGUGAAAGCCCGGGGCUCAACCCCGGGACUGCAUUUGGAACUGUGUGGCUGGAGUGUCGGAGAGGCAGGCGGAAUUCCUAGUGUAGCGGUGAAGUGCGUAGAUAUUAGGUGGAACACCAGUGGCGAAGGCGGCUUACUGGACUGUAACUGACGUUGAGGCUCGAAAGCGUGGGGAGCAAACAGG
rnacentral:rRNA from 1 species